AAUAAAAUGCCUGAUAAAAAGGAUUAUCUUGAUAGGAUAAAUCAUGUAGCUUCUUACUUUUAUUA
rnacentral:tRNA from 1 species